rnacentral:snRNA from 1 species
AGCUUUGGGUAGUGACACUAUCGCAGCCAAUGAAGUUUAUCUGAGGUGUGAUUAUUGCUAAAAGAAU